rnacentral:rRNA from 1 species
CAGUCGCCGCGGUAAUACGUAGGUGGCAAGCGUUGUCCGGAAUUAUUGGGCGUAAAGGGCUCGCAGGCGGUUUCUUAAGUCUGAUGUGAAAGCCCCCGGCUCAACCGGGGAGGGUCAUUGGAAACUGGGAAACUUGAGUGCAGAAGAGGAGAGUGGAAUUCCACGUGUAGCGGUGAAAUGCGUAGAGAUGCGGAGGAACACCAGUGGCGAAGGCGACUCUCUGGUCUGUAACUGACGCUGAGGAGCGAAAGCGUGGGGAGCGAACAGGAUUAGAUACCCCGGUAGUCCCUGUCUCUUAUAC